CCUAUUUUAAGUCAUAAGUUUCCACGCUUAAUUUUGAUCGUUCGUCGUAUUUAAUGUUUUUUAUAAUUGUUAUUUUUUAUUGUUAUGAGAUGAUAAAACAUAAAUAACAAUUUACUCGUGUUUUUAUUUUUUUAAAAAAUAUUAAAUAAGACGGACGGUUAAAGUUUGGCGCGGAAAAUUAUUGCUGCAACGGGA
rfam:Oryza meridionalis cultivar OR44 (W2112) chromosome 2, whole genome shotgun sequence.